rnacentral:lncRNA from 1 species
AGAAGCCAGGAGGAGUUAGGAACAGACUAUAAGAAAUGGUUGGUCUGGAGGAAAAAGGGUAAAACUUAUGAGGGCCCUUGUGAAUUGAUGAAUAUGAAGACACUAAGAAAGCAGAAAUAGAACUGAGAAGAAUGAAAUAACUGUCUCUACCUUUCUCGAAUUGUCUAAUAUGGAAAGAAUGAAAGACAGCUAAUAAGCAACUCUCUGCAAGAAGACAUAUGGCUUAGGUUCUGCUGAGCUAUUGGUGAUUUGAUUCCAUGCAUAUGUAUUCACUACUGAAUCUACUUGGAGAGAGUCAAACACAGAAUCCCUUUGAAUUUAAUGGCCAUUCCAGGUGAUUUGAACAGCCAAAUAAGAAACAGGUCCUCUUCAAUGUACAAUCUGCCAAGUAUGAAGUCUGAAUGACCAUCAUUAUUAUGUAUUUAAUGUGCAUAGAAAAUCUAUCUGCAACCUUCCAGAGUGUACCAGAAGUUUGGAAUGUACAUUAUUAUUGGCUCCAUCUCAAACCACUCAUAAAUCAAAGAAAAUAGCAGUUCCAGAGGAAUCAUCAUAGAGGCUUCUAGGCCCCCAUGCUGUGUGAACCUGGUGAGAAAGGGAAGUCUGCUCUCACUGGACACUGGAACUGUUUGUCUCUGUCUCUGCUGUACUUUCCCUGCCUCUACCUCACUUAGUAAAGAAAUCAUCUUUGCUUGAUAACUAAAACAACCAAUAAGGCUGAGAAAGGGGAAAACCCACAUCUGGAUUUAAAUACAAGGUAUUGGGCCAGCUGCUGGGGAUUAAACUUUGAACAAAACAGAUAGAAUCUAUGUCCUCAUGGGAGUGGCUAAUGGGAGAGUCGGAACAAAAAAAUAGCCAAGGAUAAUCCAGCAAAUGAUUUGGUGAAUGCUAUCAAAGAGAGAAAUACACAUGCUCUGGGAACACCAAGAAUAAACGAGAGAAAGGGACAUUAAUAUAUAUUGAAUAUCUGCUGUGUCAGGCACCUUACAUAUAUUGAUUGCUUCUUCACUUCUUUUAAUCUUUACUACACCACAUGAGGCUGUCAUAGAGAUUCUGAGG